GGCCCUGUGGCUUAAUGGAUAAGGCAUCUGGCUUCGAAUCAGGGGAUUCUAGGUUUGAGUCCUGGUAGGGUCG
rnacentral:tRNA from 1 species